GAUGAACGCUGGCGGCGUGCCUAAUACAUGCAAGUCGAGCGAACAGACGAGGAGCUUGCUCCUCUGACGUUAGCUGCGGACGGGUGAGUAACACGUGGAUAACCUACCUAUAAGACUUGGAUAACUUCGGGAAACCGGAGCUAAUACCGGAUAAUAUAUUUAACCGCAUGGUUCAAUAGUUAAAGACGGUUUUGCUGUCACUUAUAGAUGGAUCCGCGCCGCAUUAGCUAGUUGGUAAGGUAACGGCUUACCAAGGCAACGAUGCGUAGCCGACCUGAGAGGGUGACCGGACAAACUGGAACUGAGACACGGUCCAGACUCCUACGGGAGGCAGCAGUAGGGAAUCUUCCGCAAUGGGCGGAAGCUUGACGGAGCAAAGCCGCGUGAGGGAUGAAGGUCUUCGGAUCGUAAAACUCUGUUAUUAGGGAAGAACAAAUGUGUAAGUAACUAUGCACGUCUUGACGGUACCUAAUCAGAACGGCACGGCUAACUACGUG
rnacentral:rRNA from 1 species